UCAGCCUCUCAGGGCACCAGGUGCGUCUCCAAGGAGCUACAAAGCGAGCAGGAUGGUGCUGAGCAGCAAACCCUUCAGCUUGUUGGGGAAUCGACAGGCUGUCGCUGUCGACUACAUGCCCGUCCUUCGCCUCUUCUCUGCACAACAACAAAAAACAGAACUAGGGAGGAGUUUGAACCACUGGAGCGGCACACAUCUGGGCCUCUCUAAAUCAACCGUACGGCUCCUGGC